UACGAAGGGUGCUAGCGUUGUUCGGAAUCAUUGGGCGUAAAGCGUACGUAGGCGGCUUAGUAAGUCGAUUGUGAAAGCCCCGAGCUUAACUUGGGAAUUGCGGUCGAAACUGCUUUGCUAGAGUUUGGUGGGGGAUGACGGAAUUCCUAGUGUAGGGGUGAAAUCCGUAGAUAUUAGGAGGAACAUCAGUGGCGAAGGCGGUCAUCUACGCCAAUACUGACGCUAAGGUACGAAAGCGUGGGGAGCAAACAGG
rnacentral:rRNA from 1 species